UGUUUGAAUAUAAUUCUAAUUUGCAUAUUAUUUGGCUUUGGCUCUGGCGCCCUCCCGUUUUCCAUUUGGAGUCGAAUGGAUGGAUGGAUGGCGGAGGAUGGAAUGGAACCUUUUGGCGUACAUAAUGGGCUGGAAAAUCUUAUACAAGGCAACGCAAUCUGCAGGAUUGCAGCGGCCACAAAGCUCUUAAAGUAAUUAGUGGCAUAAAUUAAAUGCCCCAACCCCUCAGAGUGGACUUCUGCCCCGAAAACAACAAUGGGCAAUUGUUUGAAUGACCCUUGUGCCACUUUUAAUUGUUGCAAUGCUGCGAAACUUUUCGACCUCACCGGCCAAGGCGAAAGCGAAAGAGUUGCGGAAAAAGGCCUCUAGCCUUUUUGUCACCGCCGUGGAAAAUUGAGAGUAAGGGGGGAAAUGGUGGAAAAUCGGGGAGCGAUUUCCUCACGACGCACUGCAACAAAAGCGACCGACCGCGGGGCAUAAAUAACUUUUUUUAUGCGUUUCAUAUGGGCUUUUUAUGUGAACAGAAGGUCGACGCACAAGCCACGCAAAAAUUCGCCCAAAAUGAGGAAGAAAGUUGACACUUUUUAAAUUGAAUAUAAAAUAAAAUAAAUUGUGCGUUAUUU
ensembl:ncRNA lncRNA:CR42756 long non-coding RNA:CR42756